AGAGUUUGAUCCUGGCUCAGAAUCAACGCUGGCGGCGUGCCUAACACAUGCAAGUCGAGCGGGGUAGCAAUACCCAGCGGCAGACGGGUGAGUAACACGUAGUCAACCUUCCCGAUAGUGGGGGAUAACUAGCCGAAAGGUUAGCUAAUACCGCAUACGAUCUUCGAGAGGCAUCUCUUAAAGAUGAAAGCAGCAGUGCG
rnacentral:rRNA from 1 species